rnacentral:rRNA from 1 species
GAUGAACGCUGGCGGCGUGCCUAAUACAUGCAAGUCGAGCGAAUGGAUUAAGAGCUUGCUCUUAUGAAGUUAGCGGCGGACGGGUGAGUAACACGUGGGUAACCUGCCCAUAAGACUGGGAUAACUCCGGGAAACCGGGGCUAAUACCGGAUAACAUUUUGAACCGCAUGGUUCGAAAUUGAAAGGCGGCUUCGGCUGUCACUUAUGGAUGGACCCGCGUCGCAUUAGCUAGUUGGUGAGGUAACGGCUCACCAAGGCAACGAUGCGUAGCCGACCUGAGAGGGGGAGCGGCCACACUGGGACUGAGACACGGCCCAGACUCCUACGGGAGGCAGCAGUAGGGAAUCUUCCGCAAUGGACGAAAGUCUGACGGAGCAACGCCGCGUGAGUGAGGAAGGCUUUCGGGUCGUAAAACUCUGUUGUUAGGGAAGAACAAGUGCUAGUUGAAUAAGCUGACACCUUGACGGUACCUAACCAGAAAGCCACGGCUAACUACGUGCCAGCCGCCGCAGUAA